GAAGUAUGUUUGCAAGUUUUCAUGACUAAAUUAUACAAUUAUAUAAACUGUGUUCUUCUUGAAGUUUGUCAAUUAAAAUCAUGUUGACUCGCCUACUGUUUAAUGGUUCUAUUUUGAUCAUAUAAUUAGGUUUACAUCUUGACUCGCUUGAGGGUGAUCUCGGAGGGUGAUCAUUUGUAUAUUUCCUCUUCGGAGGGUGAUCUCAUCGCCCACGGAGAAGCAAUCCAAGGAGAAGAGAGUAGGUUCUGCACCCAACCUCGGCUCCCUAUCAAAGGAGGGGAAGUGGCUGCGAGCAUGCCAUCAGCGUUGGGUCGAUGGUGUUGUGCGUCGGCAGCUGGGAUCAUGCAAGACAGAUGGGAAGCAGCAGUGCAGCCUCUCCCCCCGAGCUCCAGAUACAUGAUAGCAGCAUCAAGGAGGAGGAAAACUGCAUUCAGAGGUUGCGGAAUGGCAAUGGGUGGGUUACCUCCUAGGAGCAGAUGACUGGCAUGGUUAGUGAUCACUAGCCAUGAAUCUCAUGGAUCCCAUGAUACAGGUAUCUAGUCCAGAUCCGACAGAGACAAGCAAAAUCGUGAUGCUGCUUCUUCUUUCGAUUG